rnacentral:rRNA from 1 species
CUACGGGCCGCACCAGUGGGGAAUAUUGGACAAUGGGCGCAAGCCUGAUCCAGCAAUGCCGCGUGAGUGAAGACGGCCUUAGGGUUGUAAAACUCUUUCGCUAGGGAAGAUAAUGACUGUACCUAGUAAAGAAGUCCCGGCUAACUCCGUGCCAGCAGCCGUGGUAAUACGGAGGGGACUAGCGUUGUUCGGAAUUACUGGGCGGAAAGAGUUCGUAGGCGGACUGACAAGUUAGAGGUGAAAUCCCAGGGCUCAACCCUGGAACUGCCUUUAAAACUGUCAGUCUAGAGACCGGAAGAGGUUAGGGGAAUACCUAGUGUAGAGGUGAAAUUCGUAGAUAUUAGGUGGAGCACCAGUGGCGAAGGCGCCUAACUGGUCCGGUACUGACGCUGAGGAACGAAGGCGUGGGGAGCAAACAGGAUUAGAUACCCCUGUAGUC